AAGGGUAGCAAUACCUGAGUACAGCGGCGCGCGGGUGAGUAACACGUGGAUAUCGUGCCUGGAAGUGGGGGAUAACACCGGGAAACCGGUGCUAAUACCGCAUAAUCUGACGAGAUAUGAGGAUUUUGUCAGCAAAGGAGCAAUUCGCUUUGAGAGGGGUCCGCGUCUGAUUAGCUAGUUGGUGAGGUAAUGGCUCACCAAGGCAUCGAUCAGUAGCCGGUUUGAGAGGACGGUCGGCCACACUGGAACUGAGACACGGUCCAGACUCGUACGGGAGGCAGCAGUGGGGAAUUUUUGGCAAUGGGCGAAAGCCUGACCAAGCAACGCCGCGUGGAUGAUGAAGUAUCUCGGU
rnacentral:rRNA from 1 species